GAGGGUAUAGCUCAACGCUCUAGAGCACAUGCUUAGCAUGCAUGAGGUCCUGGGUUCAACCCCCCUUACCUCG
rnacentral:tRNA from 1 species